rnacentral:rRNA from 1 species
AUGUUCUUUGAUGGCUCUAAGAUGUUGAAUGGUUUCGGUGCUGGGGUUGUUCUGGUUUCCCCCAGAGGAGAUAAGCUCAGAUAUGUGCUCCAGAUUCACUUUGAUUCCUCCAACAAUGAGGCAGAAUAUGAGGCCCUCUUAUAUGGGUUGCGCAUGGCCAUUUCACUCGGCGUCCGUCGCUUGAUGGUCUAUGGCGACUCGGAUUUAGUGGUCAAUCAAGUGAUGAAGGAGUGGGACGUGAGAAGCCCAGCCAUGACUGGAUACUGCAGUGCAGUGAGGAAGCUGGAAAAGAAGUUCGAGGGGUUAGAGCUCCAUCAUAUACCCCGACUGAAAAAUCAAGCAGCUGAUGAUCUAGCAAAGAUAGGUUCCAAGAGAGAAGCCAUUCCGAGUGGUGUGUUCUUGGAGCAUGUACACACUCCGUCAGUCAAAAAAGAUCCUUUCACCGAAGAAGCUCCACAGCCCAAGAGUGCCACAGAUCCGACUGAGGUUGAAGUCCCAGCAGUGGUCGACUUGGUUAUGGAGAUCUUGGUGGUCAUUCCCGAUUGGACAGUUCCAUAUAUCGCGUAUAUCCUGAGAAAAGAGCUCCCGGAGGAUGAGGAAGAGGCUCGACAGAUCGUCCGCCGAUCUAAGGCCUUUACCGCAAUCAAAGGACAGUUAUACAGAGAAAGCGCGACUGGAGUCGGUCAGAAGUGCAUAACGCCGGAAGAAGGUCGAAUCAUCCUUAAUGAUAUUCACUCGGGGACCUGUGGUCAUCACGCGUCCUCUCGGACCAUCGUGGCCAAAGCAUACCGAGCCGGAUUUUACUGGCCAAAGGCGAAUGAGAUGGCAAAGGAGAUAGUGGAUAAGUGCGAGGGAUGUCAGUUUUACUCGAAUAUGUCGCACAAGCCUGCAUCAGCCCUGAAGACCAUUCCACUCGUCUGGCCUUUCGUUGUAUGGGGGUUGGACAUGAUCGGUCCAUUGAGAACAGGGCGAAGUGGCUUCACGCAUGUACUGGUGGCAGUCGACAAGUUCACCAAGUGGAUUGAGGCUAAACCAAUCAAGAACCUUGACGCUGGUACUGCUGUUAGCUUCAUCAGGGAACUAAUAUUCAGAUAUGGAGUCCCGCACAGCAUCAUUACGGAUAAUGGGUCGAACUUUGACUCGGAGGAAUUCAGAGAUUUCUGUAACUCUCAAGGCACACGGGUCGACUACGCUUCAGUCGCCCAUCCGCAGUCGAAUGGACAAGCAGAGCGAGCCAAUGGCCUGAUUCUCAAGGGAUUGAAACCCCGACUGAUGCGUGAUCUCAAGCAUGCAGCUGGAGCUUGGGUCGACGAACUUCCCUCAGUGCUUUGGGGACUGCGGACCACACCUAAUCGGUCGACCGGAAGAACUCCAUUCUUCUUGGUCUACGGAGCUGAAGCAGUCUUGCCGAGUGAUCUUCUCCACAAUGCUCCUCGAGUUGAAGUCUACAACGAAGCAGAAGCUGAACAAGCGCGGCAGGACGCAGUCGACCUUUUAGAGGAAGAAAGGGAGAUGGCUUUGAUCCGGUCGACCAUCUACCAACAAGAUUUGCGUCGUUUCCACGCCAGAAAUGUGAGAGGUCGAGCCUUCCAGGAAGGAGAUUUGGUUCUCCGAGUGGAUCAGCGCAAACCACACAAGCUUGCUCCUUCUUGGGAAGGUCCCUUCAUCGUCACCAAGGUUCUUCACAACGGGGCGUACCGUCUUUACAACGUCGAGCAUAAUAUCGACGAGCCCCGAGCUUGGAACGCGGAACUACUCUGCCCAUUUUACACUUAA